ACUUCGUAAACACCUUGAUCUGCAUGUCUUGUCAGUGGGCUUUGUCAUUAGUCAUUUUGUUUCAACAGUGCUAGGGUUCAGACUGUAAUCGCGACUUAUGGCGCAAAAAGCGAAUUGGAAGCGAAAGUGAAAGAAAUAUUUUUGCGGAGAAAAUUUAACAAAUACUGCAGGUUCAGAUAUCCAGGGAGAUUGAAAUCCUGUUCCAGAGAAAAAAGGACAGCGUUGCCUUUUCUUCACGGCCAUUUUGAGCGCGUUUUUUCAGAUUGAAUAUCGAUUGGAACCGAAGAAGCCUAAUUGGGAAAAAUUCGCGAUGUCAGAAACACCUUCGACAAAAAAUCAAGAAAAAUCCAAAAUCAGUCCGGCUUGGGAGUUCUUUAAAAAAAUUGAGGGGAACAAAGUACAAUGUAAAUUAUGUUUGCAUAUUCUAAGUUUUUGCCGCAACACGAGCAACAUGCUCAAUCAUUUGACAUUCAAGCAUAAAAAUUUGGCCUUCUCCACUGUUAAUGAAAGACCGGCCCCGGUUCUAAAUCAGGGACGAAAAAGAACAGCAUCACAAGAAUCUAGAAUUGAUACUACUCCCAAAAUGGGUCCACGGCAACAAACUAUUACAUCGGCUUUCGAUCGUCCUUUUUCAUACGGAGCUGGCGGUACCAAAGU